rnacentral:misc_RNA from 1 species
AGUUUCUGAAUCCCAACGCUCUUGGCCGCCUCAACUAUGUCCGUGGGCAAACUGGGCAGACUAACCCCUCUCUUCUCCGCCUCCUGGACCACCUGGUCGAAGCUGAGUAUGGGUCCGAACUCAUCCUCCUCCUCGUCACCGUCACCCCCGCCGCCGCUACCGCCGCCAUUCUCGCCGUCCCCACCGCCGCCGGCGGCGGGAGGGAGCUUGCCAUUUCCACCAUCAUCGACAUCAAGCUUCUCCGGGAGCACAACAGGUUGAACAACCGCGGCCACCUCCUCAGUAGCGUCCCCCGCUUCGGGGACGACGACGUCCGGGCCGGAGGUGGCGGCGCCAUCCGCGCUCGCCCGCGGCGGUGGCGGGAGGUCAGCGCGGAUUCCCCUGGCGGUGCUCCACCUCCAGGCGGUCGGACGGAAGCAGGUGCCCCGCCGCCCGAGCAGAGCCGCGCCGGGACGGCAUUUGGCGCCGCCGACGCCGGUGCGACCGUGGAGGCGCGCGCCCGCGCAGGAGAACGCCAUGCUCAUGCUCGAUCGGAGAAAAGUGGUCGGAUUGGGACGGCUAAACGAUUUUGCCGCGGCGAGAGAGAUGAGUGCGCCACAGGGGCGGGGGUAUGGAGGGCGCGGCGGACCACAGAAUUGGUCGGGAUGGGUGGGAUUCGGCUGGGAAAUAGCGGAGGAGGGCGAGGGGUUUGGUCUUUCGUGGGGGACUGGGGAUUGGUGGGGUG